GUAACCUGCCCUUAACUCUGGGAUAAGCCUUGGAAACGGGGUCUAAUACUGGAUAUUGACUUUACCUCGCAUGGGGUUUUGUUGAAAGAUUUAUUGGUUUUGGAUGGACUCGCGGCCUAUCAGCUUGUUGGUGAGGUAAUGGCUCACCAAGGCGACGACGGGUAGCCGGCCUGAGAGGGUGACCGGCCACACUGGGACUGAGACACGGCCCAGACUCCUACGGGAGGCAGCAGUGGGGAAUAUUGCACAAUGGGCGAAAGCCUGAUGCAGCGACGCCGCGUGAGGGAUGACGGCCUUCGGGUUGUAAACCUCUUUCAGUAGGGAACAAGGCCAGCAUUUUUGUUGGUUGAGGGUACUUGCAGAAGAAGCGCCGGCUAACUACGUGCCAGCAGCCGCGGUAAUACGUAGGGCGCAAGCGUUAUCCGGAAUUAUUGGGCGUAAAGAGCUCGUAGGCGGUUUGUCGCGUCUGCCGUGAAAGUCCGGGGCUCAACUCCGGAUCUGCGGUGGGUACGGGCAGACUAGAGUGAUGUAGGGG
rnacentral:rRNA from 1 species